rnacentral:rRNA from 1 species
GACGAACGCUGGCGGCGUGCUUAACACAUGCAAGUCGAACGGAAAGGCCCUGCUUUUGUGGGGUGCUCGAGUGGCGAACGGGUGAGUAACACGUGAGUAACCUGCCCUUGACUUUGGGAUAACUUCAGGAAACUGGGGCUAAUACCGGAUAGGAGCUCCUGCUGCAUGGGGGGGGUUGGAAAGUUUCGGCGGUUGGGGAUGGACUCGCGGCUUAUCAGCUUGUUGGUGGGGUAGUGGCUCACCAAGGCUUUGACGGGUAGCCGGCCUGAGAGGGUGACCGGCCACAUUGGGACUGAGAUACGGCCCAGACUCCUACGGGAGGCAGCAGUGGGGAAUAUUGCACAAUGGGCGGAAGCCUGAUGCAGCAACGCCGCGUGCGGGAUGACGGCCUUCGGGUUGUAAACCGCUUUCGCCUGUGACGAAGCGUGAGUGACGGUAAUGGGUAAAGAAGCACCGGCUAACUACGUG